CCUUUUACCCUGAUCUCCUGGGAGGCAGCAGACUUCUCCAUGGGUUGGGUCAGGCCGGCAUAUGCGGCCCUCUGUUCUGCUCAGAAGGGAGUCACUUAUGACAGUAACCCUUCUCUUCUUCUUGAUGGAGGUGGUCGUGAUACUGGGGAAGGCUGACUUGCCCUAGAAAACCCCUCCAACCUGGAUGGACCUUCAUGCACAUCAUCAUCUGUGUGUCCAUUACUUCCAGAGUCUGUUGUUUCAGGGCACCUGAAAGGAAGGUGAGGUAGGCAAGGAGGGGUUCGCCUGCUGCCCCGAGCAGAUCUAAACUUCCAUCCCUUCGUCACUGAGAUGCACUCCUUCUGCCUGAUGGCCAGAGGCCUGCCCACCUCCUCCCGAAGCUCUGCCAGGAGGCUGAGCAGUUCUUCUACCUGGGCGCACCUACCACAGGUGGACUCACAGGAUGGGAUGUCAGGAAGAAUUUCUUCAUGCAAAGGGUGGAACCGGCUGCCCAGGGCACUGCUGGAGUCCCAGGCCUGGAGCUAUUAAAGAAAUGCGUGGACUUGGCGCUAAGGGCCGUGGUUUUGUGGUGGGCCUGGUGGUGUUAGCUGACGCUUGGACUUGAGCUGAAGGCCCUUUUCCAAGCGCAAGGGUUCUGUGACUCUUUCACUGGUUGAGUAGGCGCCAUGCAGUCACCGGGCCCAGGGAAAAGACGUCCUUGGUGGCCUCCAAGUUAGCUCAGCGUCAUGGCACCGAGUCACUGUGAAGGAGCUGCUGGAAUAACGAGACAACAACCUAGUUCUAUUAAAAUAUAUAUUGCUCUUUUGAGGACUGCUGCGGGGCUAGCAG